rnacentral:rRNA from 1 species
ACGGGAGGCAGCAGUGGGGAAUAUUGCACAAUGGGCGCAAGCCUGAUGUAGCGACGCCGCGUGAGCGAUGAAGUAUUUCGGUAUGUAAAGCUCUAUCAGCAGGGAAGAAAAUGACGGUACCUGACUAAGAAGCCCCGGCUAACUACGUGCCAGCAGCCGCGGUAAUACGUAGGGGGCAAGCGUUAUCCGGAUUUACUGGGUGUAAAGGGAGCGUAGACGGCGAUGCAAGUCUGAAGUGAAAGCCCGGGGCUCAACCCCGGGACUGCUUUGGAAACUGUGUUGCUAGAGUGCAGGAGGGGUAAGCGGAAUUCCUAGUGUAGCGGUGAAAUGCGUAGAUAUUAGGAGGAACACCGGUGGCGAAGGCGGCUUACUGGACUGUAACUGACGUUGAGGCUCGAAAGCGUGGGGAGCAAACAGGAUUAGAUACCCUGGUA